rnacentral:tRNA from 1 species
GGGCUAUUAGCUCAGUGGUAGAGCGCGCCCCUGAUACGGGCGAGGUCUCUGGUUCAAGUCCAGGAUGGCCCAGCUGCGCCA